AUACGGAGGAUCCGAGCGUUAUCCGGAUUUAUUGGGUUUAAAGGGAGCGUAGGUGGAUUGUUAAGUCAGUUGUGAAAGUUUGCGGCUCAACCGUAAAAUUGCAGUUGAAACUGGGAGUCUUGAGUACAGUAGAGGUGGGCGGAAUUUGUGGUGUAGCGGUGAAAUGCUUAGAUAUCACGAAGAACUCCGAUUGCGAAGGCAGCUCACUAGACUGUCACUGACACUGAUGCUCGAAAGUGUGGGUAUCAAACAGGAUUAGAUACCCUGGUAGUCCACACAGUAAACGAUGAAUACUCGCUGUUUGCGAUAUACAGUAAGCGGCCAAGCGAAAGCAUUAAGUAUUCCACCUGGGGAGUACGCCGGCAACGGUGAAACUCAAAUGAAUUGACGGGG
rnacentral:rRNA from 1 species